rnacentral:rRNA from 1 species
CUACGGGACGCAGCAGUGGGGAAUAUUGCACAAUGGGGGAAACCCUGAUGCAGCGACGCCGCGUGCGGGAAGAAGGCCUUCGGGUUGUAAACCGCUUUCAAUUGGGAAGAAGAGAUGAGAGUUAAUAGCUCUCUGAUUUGACGGUACCUUUAGAAGAAGCACCGGCUAAUUUCGUGCCAGCAGCCGCGGUAAUACGAAAGGUGCAAGCGUUGUUCGGAUUUACUGGGCGUAAAGAGAUCGUAGGUGGUUUGUUAAGUCGGAUGUGAAAUCCCGGGGCUCAACCUCGGAACUGCAUUCGAUACUGGCAGACUAGAGUUCGGGAGGGGUAAGCGGAAUUCCGUGUGUAGCAGUGAAAUGCGUAGAUAUACGGAGGAACACCUGAGGCGAAGGCGGCUUACUGGACCGAUACUGACACUGAGGAUCGAAAGCGUGGGUAGCAAACAGGAUUAGAUACCCCAGUAGUC